rnacentral:rRNA from 1 species
UACAGAGGUGGCAAGCGUUGUUCGGAAUUACUGGGCGUAAAGGGCGCGUAGGCGGUUUCGUAAGUCCUGUGUGAAAUCCCCCGGCUCAACUGGGGAACUGCACAGGAAACUGCGAGGCUUGAGUUCGGGAGAGGGAAGCGGAAUUCCGGGUGUAGCGGUGAAAUGCGUAGAUAUCCGGAGGAACACCGGUGGCGAAGGCGGCUCCUGGACCGACACUGACGCUGAGGCGCGAAGCCAGGGAG